AAUGAAUGGCCUGUGGGAGUCACGAACAGAGCUGCGGAGUCUGAUAUUCCUACAGAGGUUUCGGAUUCGUCUUGUUGUGAUUCCAAUGUUUCUGAAUUGGUGAAGGAAGUUAAACCUCGUUAUCACAUUGCAGGUUCGAUGGGGGUGUUCUAUGCCCGUGAACCUUACUUGAACGUUGAUUCUAGUCAUGUAACUCGCUUUCUUGGCCUUGCUCAAGUUGGAAACAAAAACAAACAGUGCGAAGCAAAAUUCCAGGUUUUAAUCCUCGUUAAAAAGAAAGAAAAAAUAAGAAGAAGAAGAAGAAACGAUGGCUAGCAACGGUUCACCGCAUGCCCUUGUUCCGAUUUUCAAAGGUGAAAAGUAUCAUAUAUGGAGUCUCAAGAUGAAGAAUAUGUUCCGAUUGCAAGAAUUAUGGGAUCUGGCCGGAAGAGAAGAAAGAAAGAUGCAAAAGCAUUAUUCUUCAUCCAAACGACAUUGGAUGAUGAUAUACUCUCAAGGAUCUCUGCAGCAAACACAGCUCAUGAAGCGUGGGAGAUUCUGAAGCAUGAGUAUAUGGGAGCACAAAAGGUGAUCCUGGUGAAGUUAAAAACUUUAUGGAAAAAACUUGAAACUCUUUCUAUGGAACAGAAGGAAACUGUUCAAGAGUACUUGGGUAGAGUGUUUACCAUUGUGAAUCAGAUGAAGGCUUAUGGUGAGUUAUCCACCAAUGAGAGCAUCGUGAGCAAGGUGCUGAGGAGUCUGUCAUCACAGUUUGAGUAUGUAGUUCCAGAAAUCAUUGAGUCAAAUGAUCUGAGACAUACACAUGUGAUGAAUUGAUGAGUUCUUUGUUGGCUCAUGAAGAUCGGCUUAGCAAAGCCUAUGAGAAAGCUUUUCAAAUGAAUGAAGAUUCUUCAGAAAAUGGAAGAUCUGAGUAUUAUGGAAACCAAGGCAGAGGUGGAUAUCAUGGUCGGGGCCAUGGUUAUGGAAGAGGAAGAGGUGGAUUCAAUGAACAGAAUCAACACCAAGGUUCAUACGAAUAUCAAGGUUAUCACAACAGUGGAUACGAGGAUCAAAGUCAGUUCAAGAGCAAUAUUCAGUGUAGGUAUUGCAAGAAGUUUGGGCACAAGGAGGCUGAGUGCUGGUCCAAACAAAGUAAUGAGCAAAAAUCAAAUUUUGCUCAAGAUGUUGAAGAACAGAGUAAGCUGUUCAUGACGCAUUCUACUUGCACAAGUGUGUCUGAUGUGGUAUGGUUUUUGGAUAGUGGUUGUUCCAAUCACAUGGCAUGUUGACAUGGUAUCAGAGCGUGGCCACACCCCGACCCAUUAAUCCGGCCCAGAAAGAGGUCCGAUCAUCCCACUAGCUGAUGGUCCAUAGAAGGCUCAGUUCCGCCGAGAUUGCUAGAAAAAAGAAUUGUCUCAGAGGGGGUAUGAUGGAUUCUGCGAGAUUAAUGGUUAUACGCACCAUUAUCUCGAAGGAGGGUGUUGGAGAGAAGUCCCACAUUCAAAAUAUGUAAGGGACUUGAUAUAUAUGGGACUUGGGCCACUCCACUUACCGCUAAUUGAUUUUAAGUUGGAAGUCCAUGAAACUUGACAGAAGCAGAAAUGUUUCUUGAGUGGCAGAUUGCAAUAAAACAGGAGAUGAAAUCUAUGGAGAAGAAUUCUACAUGGGAGUUCUGCAUAAAGAAGAAGCAAGGAGAAGAUGGAAUCUUUGCAUGUCAGAAGAAGUAUGGUGUUGCUUUGGUGAAGAAGUUCAACAUAUAUGGUUGUGAGAAGGCACUCACAACAAAUGAUUAUGGUAUGUGGUUUUCGAACUUGUUCAAUUUCAAGUUUGUUGGUUGGACAGACAGCGACUAGGCAGUAAGUUUGGAUGAUAUGAAAAGCAAUUCGGAAAAUUGCUUUAGUUUUGGUUUUGGUGCUGUUAUUUGGAGUUCAAAGAACCAAGAAACUGUGGCACUAUCAUCAACUGAAGCAGAGUAUAUGGCAGAAGAAGCAACAACAAGGCAAGUUCUAUGUUUAAGGAAGUUACUAGCUAAUUUCUGUGUUGAACAAGUUGAAGCUACAGAGAUAGCGUUUCAUGGCAGGAUCAAGAAAUUUGGAGUGUGCAAAUUUGAAUCAAAGGGGAGUGUUGAUUGAUUCAAAGUCAAUUUAGAAUCUAGGAACAAUGGGGUUUGUGGUUUAACUUAACAUGGGUUGUUUCCUAGUUAUUAGGAGUUUAUUAUUUAUUUUUUACUAUCAUAGGUAAUGAGUAGUUAUCUAUUUCUUUAUAAAUUCAGUAUUUUGAAAUUGUAUUUUUUAAGCUUUUCAAUCAACAUAAUAUUUUAGCUUCCUUUCUCUGAAAUCUCCCAGAAAUUGUCCAACUAACAUCUAAAUACAGCCCCAAUAUCUGUAAGCCUCUUGACAUUUCCCGGCAAUAUAAACCGGCUAAAAGAAAUCUUUCUGCAU